ensembl:rRNA 5S_rRNA 5S ribosomal RNA
UUCUACGGCCACACCCCUCUGAACGCACCCAAUCUCGUCUGAUCUUGGAAGCUGAACAGGCUCCAGCCUGGGUAGUACUUGGGAUCAAAGAAAGGAUGGGUCGACC